CCUACGGGGCGCAGCAGUCGAGAAUCAUUCACAAUGGGGGAAACCCUAAUGGUGCGACGCCGCGUGGGGGAAUGAAGGUCUUCGGAUUGUAAACCCCUGUCAUGUGGGAGCAAAUUAAAAAGAUAGUACCACAAGAGGAAGAGACGGCUAACUCUGUGCCAGCAGCCGCGGUAAUACAGAGGUCUCAAGCGUUGUUCGGAAUCACUGGGCGUAAAGCGUGCGUAGGCUGUUUCGUAAGUCGUGUGUGAAAGGCGAGGGCUCAAGCCGCGGACUGCACAUGAUACUGCGAGACUAGAGUAAAGGAGGGGGAACCGGAAUUCGCGGUGUAGCAGUGAAAUGCGUAGAUAUCGAGAGGAACACUAGUGGCGAAGGCGGGUUCCUGGACAUUAACUGACGCUGAGGCACGAAGGCCAGGGGAGCGAAAGGGAUUAGAUACCCUUGUAGUC
rnacentral:rRNA from 1 species